rnacentral:misc_RNA from 1 species
GAUGAAGAACGUAGUGAAAUGCGAUAAGUAAUGUGAAUUGCAGAAUUCAGUGAAUCAUCGAAUCUUUGAACGCACAUUGCGCCCCUCGGUAUUCCGGGGGGCAUGCCUGUUCGAGCGUCAUUAUAACCCUCAAGCCUAGCUUGGUGUUGGAGCAUGCUACCUAGCAGCUCUUAAAAUCAGUGGCAGUGCCCUUCGGCUCUAAGCGUAGUAACUCUUCUCGCUAUAGAAAUCGGAUGGUACGCGCCAGAACCCCUAACUUUAUAUGGUUGACCUCGGAUCAGGUAGGGAUACCCGCUGAACUUAAGCAUAUCAAUAAGCGGAGGA